GAUGAACGCUGGCGGCGUGCCUAAUACAUGCAAGUCGAGCGAACGGACGAGAAGCUUGCUUCUCUGAUGUUAGCGGCGGACGGGUGAGUAACACGUGUAUAACCUACCUAUAAGACUGGUAUAACUUCGGGAAACCGGAGCUAAUACCGGAUGAUCUUUUGAACCGCAUGGUUGAAAAGUGAAAGACGGUCUUGCUGUCACUUAUAGAUGGAUCCGCGCUGCUUUAGCUAGUUGGUAAGGUAACGGCUUACCACGGCAACGAUGCAUAGCCGACCUGAGAGGGGGGUAGGCCACACUGGAAGUGAGACGCGGUCCAGACUCCUACGGGAGGCAGCAGUAGGGAAUCUGACGCAGAGGGCGGAAGCAUGACGGAGCGACGCCGCGUGAGAUAUGAAGGUCUUCGGAUCGUAAAACUCUGUUAUGGGGGAAGAACAGAUGUGUAAGGAACUGUACACAUCUUGACGGUACCUAAUCAGGAAGCCACGGCUAACUACGUG
rnacentral:rRNA from 1 species